AUAAUUUUAGAAUUUCAUGUUGAAAAUAAAUCGAAUUACAAAACCGAUUGAAUUUAGAGAACGUUCCUAAUCGAUUUUGGAAUGAAAUCCUAAAACUAAGUUCCUAAUUCUAGCCCACUUUGGUAAAGCCCAUUGUGAUAAACCUAAACCCCCAUAAUCUCAUCUCACGUGAAACCAAAGAAACAACAAAAGAAAAAUCUCUCUCCUUCAUCCUUCACCCUUCACGUGAACCCUCAAACCCUCAAACCUUGCAGCCGCCAGCCACCAGCCACCGCACACCGCCUGCACCACCCUCGCCGUCGGCGUCUCCUCCUUCGUCCGCAACCACCACCCACCUACGAAACUGACCGCGACAGCCACCGUCCUGUGUCGUCGCCGACCAACCAGCACCAACUUCGCAAUCCUUCCACACGCAAACAGUCCUCCCUUUGGCUUGCUCCUUGCUCACGGCACCACCACCAACGACCCGAGCAACCCUCGCUGCCACCAUCGACAGCCGCCACCGCCGCUGCCGCGCCAUCUCCGACCGCCGUCUAACCACUCUUCAUUCUUUCUUUUGGUGGAGAAUUCUCCGUAGGCGACUUUUGAAUUCUUAAAGUGGUCUCGCAUUUUGUUUACACAAGUCUCUAAGGAUCAAUAAGCGUUGCCCAUCUACAGGUUUGAAGAUGAUGCAUCAUUGGGAUCGGGAUUAGAGAGCUUGUAGUUCAUUUGAUUUUCUAAGUUGGAUUUGGUUUGUUUAAGUGGACUCUAAAACUUAUUGAAUUAGUAACAUUAACUUUGUUUUU